UUACCCUGGUUAUAUUGAAAUGUUCUGCUUUGUCCAUUCCAAUGUGUGGUGUCUUCCAUAGCUGUUCCUUGCUCCCGUUUCACAACAUAUCAAGGCUGCCAAGUAAAUGAAGAAUGAAUCACCGCACACUGGUCAACAGCCGACAGAGUCCUUCCACAACCACAUACUUAUGCCAGUAAAAGCCACAGCUUUUCUCCUCCAAUCCAAGAAGCCUGGACUGCAGUCACCAUCUCAACACACCAACCAAGAGAAAGGCGGAUGGCUCAAUUCAAUAUGGAAAAUUGCACAAUAAAAGUUCCAGGACAAGAAGGCUGCAUACUGUGAACGUCAACCUUCAGGGCACCGUCCUGCGCAGAAGACUUUCUACCCUAAGAGGGAUGGCUGACCGCAGACACUCACAACCAGCACAGACGCCUCCAACCUCAAACUAGGCCCUUCACAGUUGCUGCACUUACCCACCUUCCCAGAGUUUUUGUGUGGUAAUGACAACUGUAAAUAUAGUAUAAAGUAAUGUAUCUAGUGUCAUGUGUAAUACAUUGUUUAAAUUGUCCAUUGUCCAUUGCUUCCAUUUCAAUGACA